rnacentral:rRNA from 1 species
CCUACGGGAGGCUGCAGUGAGGAAUAUUGGUCAAUGGGCGCGAGCCUGAACCAGCCAAGUAGCGUGAAGGAUGACUGCCCUACGGGUUGUAAACUUCUUUUAUAAAGGAAUAAAGUGAGGCACGUGUGCCUUUUUGUAUGUACUUUAUGAAUAAGGAUCGGCUAACUCCGUGCCAGCAGCCGCGGUAAUACGGAGGAUCCGAGCGUUAUCCGGAUUUAUUGGGUUUAAAGGGAGCGUAGAUGGGUUGUUAAGUCAGGUGUGAAAGUUUGCGGCUCAACCGUAAAAUUGCAAUUGAUACUGGUAGACUUGAGUACAGUUGAGGUAGGCGGAAUUCGUGGUGUAGCGGUGAAAUGCUUAGAUAUCACGAAGAACUCCGAUUGCGAAGGCAGCUUACUAAACUGCCACUGACAUUGAUGCUCGAAAGUGUGGGUAUCAAACAGGAUUAGAUACCCCUGUAGUC